CAAGCCGUUUUCCGGGAAUUAUUGGGCGUAAAGCGUCCGCAGGCGGCCCUUCAAGUCUGCUGUUAAAACGUGGAGCUUAACUCCAUCAUGGCAGUGGAAACUGUUGGGCUUGAGUGUGGUAGGGGCAGAGGGAAUUCCCGGUGUAGCGGUGAAAUGCGUAGAUAUCGGGAAGAACACCAGUGGCGAAGGCGCUCUGCUGGGCCAUAACUGACGCUCAUGGACGAAAGCCAGGGGAGCGAAAGGGAUUAGAUACCCCUGUAGUCCUGGCCGUAAACGAUGAACACUAGGUGUCGGGGGAAUCGACCCCCUCGGUGUCGUAGCCAACGCGUUAAGUGUUCCGCCUGGGGAGUACGCACGCAAGUGUGAAACUCAAAGGAAUUGACGGGGGCCCGCACAAGCGGUGGAGUAUGUGGUUUAAUUCGAUGCAACGCGAAGAACCUUACCAGGGUUUGACAUCCUGCGAACCUCUUGGAAACGAGAGGGUGCCUUCGGGAACGCAGUGACAGGUGGUGCAUGGCUGUCGUCAGCUCGUGUCGUGAGAUGUUGGGUUAAGUCCCGCAACGAGCGCAACCCACGUCUUUAGUUGCCAGCAUUUAGUUGGGCACUCUAGAGAGACCGCCGGUGAUAAACCGGAGGAAGGUGUGGAUGACGUCAAGUCAUCAUGCCCCUUACAUCCUGGGCUACACACGUACUACAAUGCUACGGACAAAGAGCAGCAAGUUCGCGAGGACAAGCAAAUCUCAUAAACCGUGGCUCAGUUCAGAUCGUAGGCUGCAACUCGCCUACGUGAAGGAGGAAUCGCUAGUAAUCGCAGGUCAGCAUACUGCGGUGAAUACGUUCCCGGGCCUUGUACACACCGCCCGUCACACCAUGGAAGUUGGCCACGCCCGAAGCCGUUACUCCAACCCUUGUGGAGGAGGACGUCGAAGGUGGGGCUGAUGACUGGGGUGAAGUCGUAACAAGGUAGCCGUA
rnacentral:rRNA from 1 species